CCAUUAGUCAAACGACUCUCGGCAACGGAUAUCUCGGCUCUUGCAUCGAUGAAGAACGUAGCGAAAUGCGAUACUUGGUGUGAAUUGCAGAAUCCCGUGAACCAUCGAGUUUUUGAACGCAAGUUGCGCCUGAGACCUUUAGGUUGAGGGCACGUCUGCCUGGGCAUCACACAC
rnacentral:rRNA from 1 species